rnacentral:misc_RNA from 1 species
UCCGGUUUGUCACCGGCAGUCUUGCAUGAGUCCCCAGCCGAACCGCUGGCAACAUGCAACGGGGGUUGCGCUCGUUGCGGGACUUAACCCAACAUCUCACGACACGAGCUGACGACAGCCAUGCACCACCUGUGAUCGUGUCCCGAAGGAAAGGUGUGUUUCCACACCGGUCACGAACAUGUCAAGCCCAGGUAAGGUUCUUCGCGUUGCGUCGAAUUAAACCACAUGCUCCGCUGCUUGUGCGGGCCCCCGUCAAUUCCUUUGAGUUUCAACCUUGCUGCCGUACUCCCCAGGCGGAGUGCUUAAUGCGUUAGCGACGGCAGUGAAAGCGUUGAAACUUCCACCACCUAGCACUCAUCGUUUACAGCUAGGACUAC